UCUAGCCAGUAUCCCUGAGCAAAGAGAGCUUUAGUUCAGCCCCCCGAAACUAGACGAGCUACUUCAAGACAGCCUAUGAUGGGCCAACCCGUCUCUGUUGCAAAAGAGUGGGAAGAUCUUUAAGUAGAGGUGACAAACCUAUCGAGCCUAGUUAUAGCUGGUUGUCUGAGAAGUGUAUAUAAGUUCAGCCUCCCGACUCCCCCCAUCCAGGACACUCAUGUCUCCCGAGACCGAGGGUGACCGAGAGAGUUAGUCAAAGAGGGUACAGCCCCUUUGAAAAAGGACACAACCUCACCGGGAGACUAAAGAUCAUAAUUAACCCAAGGAGUCUUGUUUUAGUGGGCCUAAAAGCAGCCACCUAAAAAGAAAGCGUUAAAGCUCAUACAAACUCCGCCCCCUAAUACCGAGCCCAACUCUACACUCCCCACCUAUUAUCAGACCGUCCCACAAACCCUGGGAAAGACCCUGCUAGAAUGAGUAAUAAGGGGGACCGCCCCUCUCCGCUACAUGUGUGUAAAUCGGAACGGACCCCCCGCCGAUAACUAACGAUCCCCCAUAAGAGGGACAUGUAAUGCUGCACAAAUAGCUAGAAACCCUAACAAAAUUAAUCGUUAACCCAACACAGGUGUGCAUACCCGGAAAGACUUAGAUAAAGGGAAGGAACUCGGCAAACACAAGCCUCGCCUGUUUACCAAAAACAUCGCCUCUUGCAAAAAGAACGAAUAAGAGGUCCCGCCUGCCCUGUGACUAUAUGUUUAACGGCCGCGGUAUUUUGACCGUGCGAAGGUAGCGCAAUCACUUGUCUCUUAAAUGGAGACCUGUAUGAAAGGCAUCACGAGGGCUUAGCUGUCUCCCCUUUAAAGUCAAUGAAAUUGAUCUCCCCGUGCAGAAGCGGGGAUAUACUCGUAAGACGAGAAGACCCUAUGGAGCUUAAGAUAUAAAGCGACCCAUGUCAAGCAUCCCUUCAAAGGAAGUGAACAAGAUGAAUCUCGCCGAAAUAUCUUCGGUUGGGGCGACCGCGGGGAAAGACAAAACCCCCACAUGGACUAGGGCCACUAUAGCCCUAAAACCUAGACCCACAGGUCAAAUCAACAGUAUUUCUGACCACCAAAGAGCCGGCAAUGCCGAUCAACGGACCGAGUUACCCUAGGGAUAACAGCGCAAUCCCCUCCCAGAGCCCUUAUCGACGAGGGGGUUUACGACCUCGAUGUUGGAUCAGGACAUCCUAAUGGUGCAACCGCUAUUAAGG
rnacentral:rRNA from 1 species